GCCCUGUUGGUCUAGUGGUAUGAUUCUCGCUUAGGGUGCGAGAGGUCCCGCGUUCGAUCCGCGGAUAGGGCC
rnacentral:tRNA from 1 species